rnacentral:lncRNA from 1 species
AGAGGAGCUCCACAGAGGAGAGAUGCUUGGCCAGAGCUUAGAUGGAUGAGUAGAAGCUGACCAGGUAGUUGAUGUUUACCCAGUGGUUGAAAUCAUUCCAAGCAGAGGGAUUUACAUGUACAAUGGCUCUGAGGCAUGCCAGUACUUGGAAUACUUGAGGAAGAAGGAAUAGUACAGUGUAGCUGGAAAAAAAAGACUACUUUAGUGGUGAAAGACAGAGAGUUCAGAUUAUUGGAAAAUUGGGUGGAAGUUGAGUCUACAAGUUUGAAAUUUAUAGGAACUGAGAGGUGACUGAUAGAUUUUUUUCAGGGAAAAGCGAUGCCAAGAUUGUUUUAUAAAUGGAGGCAACAAGAGAAAUGGAUAGGAAUCGUAUGAGACUGGAAAUGGAUCAGCAUAGCUAAAAAUGAAAGAUGAUGAGAGACUAAAGAGUGAGGAUGCAGGGGAAAGAAAAGGUUCAGGAGAUAUGAGCUAGAGCCUAUGUAACUGGACACAAAGAAUGAGAACUUCGGCAGCAUAAUGGACUCACGGCAUUUGUGCCCUUUGGAGACUAAACUUUCUCUUUUGUUUCCCUUUCUUGUUUUGUGAUAUAUUUUAAAAGGCCCUCCCUGUGAUUCUGAUACACUCUAACCAGUGCUAUAGAAAGAUAUUACAGAGGCUGAACAGAGAAAUGUCCAGUCCUAUCUUGCAUUUCUUAUUCAACAGAUAUGAGAUGAGGCCCAAGCAAGUGAUAUAUUUUUUCUUUUUUUUUAAUAUCCAAAAUGUGUUUAUUGGUAUGUUUUCCCACUCAUCUUGAUUCAGGUUGCUUUUAGUGCUGCUUCCUUCUGAAGGAACAUCCUUCUGUAAGUCUUACUUUUCCUCCUAUAGGCUGGCAGAGAACAGUGGAGGAGCCAACACACAAAACUACUCUUUGUGCAUGGCUAAAAACUGUGGUGAUUUUAUAGCAUCCUGGGCAUUUCACAUCCAUGAAAUAGAAUUGGGGCUCUGCACCAGGCACCAUUCUUGUGUUUCCUCUUCUCUUCUGGAGAGAGAUGAAGGAGAUUUUUUGCGAGAGGCAUGUUCUCGUGGGGAGGUCAUCACCGCCGGAAAGGCAAGCAUAUGAUUUCCAAUGAGUUCCCAGGUAAUACUGAUGCUGCUGGUCCAGGGACCAUACUUUAAGAAGCACUGCUUUAUAGCACUGACAAUGGCCAUUUCCUUCCUAAAAGUCUCCUUUCUUGGCAUUCUAUGCCAUCAUUUUUCUGCAGACCCACCUCUUCUUAUA